GAUGAAGAACGUAGCGAAAUGCGAUAAGUAAUGUGAAUUGCAGAAUUCAGUGAAUCAUCGAAUCUUUGAACGCACAUUGCGCCCCUUGGUAUUCCGAGGGGCAUGCCUGUUCGAGCGUCAUUAUAACCCCUCAAGCUCAGCUUGGUGUUGGGGCCUGCUGCACUGGCAGCCCUUAAAAUCAGUGGCGGCGCCAUCUGGCUCUAAGCGUAGUAAUUCUUCUCGCUAUGGAGUCCUGGUGGAUGCUUGCCAUCAACCCCCAAUUUUUAUAUGGUUGACCUCGGAUCAGGUAGGGAUACCCGCUGAACUUAAGCAUAUCAAUAAGCGGAGGA
rnacentral:misc_RNA from 1 species